rnacentral:rRNA from 1 species
CCUACGGGAGGCAGCAGUGAGGAAUAUUGGUCAAUGGACGGAAGUCUGAACCAGCCAUGCCGCGUGCAGGAAGACGGCUCUAUGAGUUGUAAACUGCUUUUGUACAAGGGUAAACCUGAAUACGUGUAUUCAGCUGAAAGUACUUUACGAAUAAGGUCCGGCUAACUCCGUGCCAGCAGCCGCGGUAAUACGGAGGAUCCAAGCGUUAGCCGGAUUUAUUGGGUUUAAGGGGUGCGUAGGUGGAUGGAUAUGUUGGGGGUGAAAUGUCCGGGCUUAACUCGGGAACUGCCUCUAAUACUGUUGAGCUGGAAAGUGGAUGCGGUAGGCGGAAUGUAUGGUGUAGCGGUGAAAUGCUUAGAGAUCAUACAGAACACCGAUUGCGAAGGCAGCUUACCAAGCUAUGUCUGACGUUGAGGCACGAAAGCGUGGGGAGCAAACAGGAUUAGAUACCCGAGUAGUC